rnacentral:rRNA from 1 species
UACGGAGGGUGCAAGCGUUAUCCGGAUUCACUGGGUUUAAAGGGUGCGUAGGUGGGUUUGUAAGUCAGCGGUGAAAUCUCCGGGCUUAACUGGGAGGGUGCAUUAGAAACUGGAAUGCUAGAGGAUGGGAGAGGUAAGCGGAAUUCCUGGUGUAGCGGUGAAAUGCGUAGAUAUCAGGAGGAACACCUGUGGUGUAGACAGCUUACUGGACCAUUUCUGACGCUGAGGCGCGAAAGCCAGGGGAGCAAACGGG